rnacentral:lncRNA from 1 species
ACCUCCACCCAUGCACAAUCAUGCUUUAGAGGGAUCUAACGGCCCCGGGGAGGUUUUCUUCCACAACUCCGGCCGCCCGAUCCGCCUCUGCUUCUGAGAAGAAGCCGACGUAGUCCGUCCACCCCCACCUCCCAGAAUUCACCAGUAGCCUCCUAAUCGACUCCCUCGUCUGUCUCGCACGUCAAUUUGACGAUUUGAGGUUCCUCCGACGAGAUCCAACAUCACCCGAAGCCGCCGCCCGCGGUAGUCGACAUCGCCGGCACUAUGAUGCUCGCCAGCAAGCAAAUCCACCACCCACCGGCCACCGACGCGGAAGAACACCCUGAGGACGUCUGCACCAUCGCCAUCCCUUGCUACACCGUGAUCGCCGCCAGUAACCUCCCCUUCCUUCUCUAUUUCGGUGCAAAGCACGCCCAAGUUCAAACCUGAUGGGUGGGACCCACCCGUCAGACUUCUCUUCUUUUCUAUUUAGUACGAACGCAUAUUUUCAGAGAAUAUGCUUUCUCUAUAGGUAAAGCGUAUUUCCAGCCGGCCGUUUUCUUUUUAUGUUUUAUUUAGAAAAUGCUUUCUCUAUAGGUAAAGCGUAUUUCCAGCCGGCCGUUUUCUUUUUAUGUUUUAUUUAAAAACAUAUUGACCACGACUUUGACUGACUCUAGUUUUUAAACCAUAACUCUAAAUGACUUGAUUCUUUUUCUGACAUCCCUCAUUUUUCGUCUAGUUUGUUUUAGUAUUUAUUUCAAAAAUUUAUGAAACACUUUUUGGUACUGUUUUGGAAUUAUGUGGUAAUUGCAAUAUUUUUGAAAAUAGGUAAAUGGAGGGAAGAUAAAUUUGGCAAAGUAUUGAAGUGCACCCAAUCUUUCUGCAUGCUCAAGGCAAGCAUCUUGAGCACAUGAUAUGGUGAAUGCAUAGUUGUUUGUUUGCAUGUAGAAUUGAAUUAUGAAUAUAUUGAACUCAUAUGAAGUUUGCAUAGUAUUGGUCAUACAUGCAUGAUCCCCCUUGAUGGUAUUUUAUCCUCCUGACAUACAAGUGAGUAGGGUUAUUUUCAUGUACCAUAUGUGCCUGUGUUGGUCCAGGCUAAUUUGCAGGAAGAAUCAGUCACGAGAAAAGUAACCGUGAGACUGAAACCUCGUUGUGACGAGAAUGAUCAGUGAGGGUAUGUUGGGACAUACCGGGUGGUGACCCUGUUGGGUACUGCCAAGGAGUUAUAUUGUGCUAACCGCAGCAGGAAAACUUAAACCUCCUGAGUUGACCAUAGAUCGAGUCUUGUUCCAGUAACCCCCAUACUUGUUUGGUGCUACCACUUGUCCCUGCCACAGGCAGGGUAUGGUUCAGUAAGUUGUUAACCCCUUUCCGUGCACACACUGCAUAGAGAGGCCAUGGUGAAAGAUACCAUGGGCCUCUAGUAGGCAUGUCAUCUGGUCAGGCGGCAUGGGUGUAUACGGUUGGGCCGAGAGGGGGGGCACCCCUUGGAAUCCGCGCGUUAUGGAAUAGUGAUCCCAUGCUAUUCGAGACGAUGGUCUCCCCGUCUUAAGAGUUUUUCUUGAAAGAUGCUUUGGGUGAUUCCUGGCAUCCGAAGAGUUAAUCUGGUGUGUGUUGGUCAGGUGUGUUUUCAACCCAAAGGCCAUAACGGGAAUUAGUCAACGUCUCAGUGUUGGCUAAAGAAAUCCUAUACACGUGGGUAAAGAGUGCACCCUCUACAGAGUUAUAUCUAUUCGAAUAGCCAUGUCCAUGGUUAAGGACUACAGUCUGGGUUGGUCAAGUGUCGGUCUUAGUGUCAGUCUCCGGAGGAAAUAAUUAAAUUGAUCAUGGUCCAUUUUGCAGGAUAAUUAUUGUCACUUCUGGUGUCAUUACAAAUAUUAUUGUUGACAUGAAUAUUGUUGAGGUUUAACCUUUUCCUCUUAUGUGAAAUCUUGAGUAUCUCUUGGGGUGGCUAGACUACCUGAAAUACUCAAGUUUAUUUCUAUUUCUGAGUAUCACUUGAGAUGACUAGUCUACAUGGAUACUCGUGUUAUUAAUGUUUUAUAAGCCCUUUAUGAGGCGUCGCUCAGACACCCGACUGUGGCAUGUAUUUUUAAGACCUCUCGAAGCGUCGCUUUUAGACACAUGUUUGGCAUUUCUUUUGGAAUUUCUCGGGCGGUCCAACGCCCGACGUUCCGUUUCAUUUCUUUGAUUUACUAAUAACAUGAUUUAUUUAUGCUUCCGCACCGUAUGAGUAUUUAUCGUGCCAUGUUUUGAUUUUCAAUCAGCACAUGCAUAUAAUUUACUUUCACAUGAACAUAUACAUUCGGUAUAUCUUUUGUUCAUCAUGUUUGCGAGUACAUUCAAAGGUACUCACUGGCUUGUCCCUGGCUAUUAUCUUGGCUAG